GUGGGGAAUCUUCCGCAAUGGACGAAAGUCUGACGGAGCAACGCCGCGUGAGUGAUGAAGGUCUUCGGAUUGUAAAGCUCUGUUAAUCGGGACGAAAGAGCCUAGUGUGAAUAAUGCUAGGAAGUGACGGUACCGGAAUAGAAAGCCACGGCUAACUACGUGCCAGCAGCCGCGGUAAUACGUAGGUGGCAAGCGUUGUCCGGAAUUAUUGGGCGUAAAGCGCGCGCAGGCGGAUCUGCCAGUCUGUCUUAAAAGUUCGGGGCUUAACCCCGUGAUGGGAUGGAAACUACAGAUCUAGAGUAUCGGAGAGGAAAGUGGAAUUCCUAGUGUAGCUGUGAAAUGCGUAGAUAUUAGGAAGAACACCAGUGGCGAAGGCGACUUUCUGGACGAAAACUGACGCUGAGGCGCGAAAGCCAGGGGAGCGAACGGGAUUAGAAACCCCGGUAGUCC
rnacentral:rRNA from 1 species